rnacentral:tRNA from 1 species
GGCCCCAUGGUGUAACGGUUAGCACUCUGGACUCUGAAUCCGGCGAUCCGAGUUCAAAUCUCGGUGGGACCU